rfam:Stegodyphus mimosarum contig17148, whole genome shotgun sequence.
ACCUUCGUGGUGUAGUGGUCAGCACACUUGGCGCGUAUUCCAGAGGUCUGUGGUUCGAAUCCCAGCAAGGGCA